CUGGCUCAGGACGAACGCUGGCGGCGUGCCUAAUACAUGCAAGUCGAGCGGACAGAAGGGAGCUUGCUCCCGGAUGUUAGCGGCGGACGGGUGAGUAACACGUGGGUAACCUGCCUGUAAGACUGGGAUAACUCCGGGAAACCGGAGCUAAUACCGGAUAGUUCCUUGAACCGCAUGGUUCAAGGAUGAAAGACGGUUUCGGCUGUCACUUACAGAUGGACCCGCGGCGCAUUAGCUAGUUGGUGAGGUAACGGCUCACCAAGGCGACGAUGCGUAGCCGACCUGAGAGGGUGAUCGGCCACACUGGGACUGAGACACGGCCCAGACUCCUACGGGAGGCAGCAGUAGGGAAUCUUCCGCAAUGGACGAAAGUCUGACGGAGCAACGCCGCGUGAGUGAUGAAGGUUUUCGGAUCGUAAAGCUCUGUUGUUAGGGAAGAACAAGUGCAAGAGUAACUGCUUGCACCUUGACGGUACCUAACCAGAAAGCCACGGCUAACUACGUGCCAGCAGCCGCGGUAAUACGUAGGUGGCAAGCGUUGUCCGGAAUUAUUGGGCGUAAAGGGCUCGCAGGCGGUUUCUUAAGUCUGAUGUGAAAGCCCCCGGCUCAACCGGGGAGGGUCAUUGGAAACUGGGAAACUUGAGUGCAGAAGAGGAGAGUGGAAUUCCACGUGUAGCGGUGAAAUGCGUAGAGAUGUGGAGGAACACCAGUGGCGAAGGCGACUCUCUGGUCUGUAACUGACGCUGAGGAGCGAAAGCGUGGGGAGCGAACAGGAUUAGAUACCCUGGUAGUCCACGCCGUAAACGAUGAGUGCUAAGUGUUAGGGGGUUUCCGCCCCUUAGUGCUGCAGCUAACGCAUUAAGCACU
rnacentral:rRNA from 1 species